rnacentral:lncRNA from 1 species
UCCGGCAUCAUGAUCAGCUGAAGCAAUCCAGAAGGUACUUGAUGCUUGGCUUUUACUUACUAACAGACUAAACAUUUCGAAACAAAGUCAUAAAUGUCUCGUUUCAUACCGUGCCACCAGUAAAGAUGUUUCAGAUCAUUAUACAUCUUUGUGCUUCCUAGGUAAACAGACAACCAACUGUUAUGAGCUUCGUUCAGAAGCCUUUGAAUCAAUUCUGGAUCUCUCGAAACGCAUAUUCAAUUUUUUAAUCUCAGACAAUUCGAAACUCCGAAU